rnacentral:rRNA from 1 species
GGACGAACGCUGGCGGCGUGCCUAAUACAUGCAAGUCGAACGAACUCUGGUAUUGAUUGGUGCUUGCAUCAUGAUUUACAUUUGAGUGAGUGGCGAACUGGUGAGUAACACGUGGGAAACCUGCCCAGAAGCGGGGGAUAACACCUGGAAACAGAUGCUAAUACCGCAUAACAACUUGGACCGCAUGGUCCGAGCUUGAAAGAUGGCUUCGGCUAUCACUUUUGGAUGGUCCCGCGGCGUAUUAGCUAGAUGGUGGGGUAACGGCUCACCAUGGCAAUGAUACGUAGCCGACCUGAGAGGGUAAUCGGCCACAUUGGGACUGAGACACGGCCCAAACUCCUACGGGAGGCAGCAGUAGGGAAUCUUCCACAAUGGACGAAAGUCUGAUGGAGCAACGCCGCGUGAGUGAAGAAGGGUUUCGGCUCGUAAAACUCUGUUGUUAAAGAAGAACAUAUCUGAGAGUAACUGUUCAGGUAUUGACGGUAUUUAACCAGAAAGCCACGGCUAACUACGUGCCAGCAGCCGCGGUAAUACGUAGGUGGCAAGCGUUGUCCGGAUUUAUUGGGCGUAAAGCGAGCGCAGGCGGUUUUUUAAGUCUGAUGUGAAAGCCUUCGGCUCAACCGAAGAAGUGCAUCGGAAACUGGGAAACUUGAGUGCAGAGAGGACAGCGGGAACUCCAUGUGUAGCGGUGAAAUGCGUAGAUAUAUGGAAGAACACCAGUGGCGAAGGCGGCUGUCUGGUCUGUAACUGACGCUGAGGCUCGAAAGUAUGGGUAGCAAACAGGAUUAGAUACCCUGGUAGUCCAUACCGUAAACGAUGAAUGCUAAGUGUUGGAGGGUUUCCGCCCUUCAGUGCUGCAGCUAACGCAUUAAGCAUUCCGCCUGGGGAGUACGGCCGCAAGGCUGAAACUCAAAGGAAUUGACGGGGGCCCGCACAAGCGGUGGAGCAUGUGGUUUAAUUCGAAGCUACGCGAAGAACCUUACCAGGUCUUGACAUACUAUGCAAAUCUAAGAGAUUAGACGUUCCCUUCGGGGACAUGGAUACAGGUGGUGCAUGGUUGUCGUCAGCUCGUGUCGUGAGAUGUUGGGUUAAGUCCCGCAACGAGCGCAACCCUUAUUAUCAGUUGCCAGCAUUAAGUUGGGCACUCUGGUGAGACUGCCGGUGACAAACCGGAGGAAGGUGGGGAUGACGUCAAAUCAUCAUGCCCCUUAUGACCUGGGCUACACACGUGCUACAAUGGACGGUACAACGAGUUGCGAACUCGCGAGGGUAAGCUAAUCUCUUAAAGCCGUUCUCAGUUCGGACUGUAGGCUGCAACUCGCCUACACGAAGUCGGAAUCGCUAGUAAUCGCGGAUCAGCAUGCCGCGGUGAAUACGUUCCCGGGCCUUG